CGUAUACAAUCUACCUUUUACAGGGGGAUAGCCUUUAGAAAUGAAGAUUAAUACCCCAUAGUAUAUAUUAAUGGCAUCGUUAAUAUAUUAAAGUUUCGGCGGUAAAAGAUGAGUAUGCGUUCUAUUAGCUAGAUGGUGUGGUAACGGCACACCAUGGCAACGAUAGAUAGGGGCCCUGAGAGGGGGAUCCCCCACACUGGUACUGAGACACGGAACAGACUCCCAUGGGCGCAAGCCUGAUCCAGCCAUGCCGCGUGCAGGAAGACUGCCCUAUGGGUUGUAAACUGCUUUUAUACAGGAAGAAACCGCUCUACGUGUAGAGCUCUGACGGUACUGUAAGAAUAAGGAUCGGCUAACUCCGUGCCAGCAGCCGCGGUAAUACGGAGGAUCCAAGCGUUAUCCGGAAUCAUUGGGUUUAAAGGGUCCGUAGGUGGAUAAUUAAGUCAGAGGUGAAAGUCUGCAGCUCAACUGUAGAAUUGCCUUUGAUACUGGUUAUCUUGAGUUAUUAUGAAGUAGUUAGAAUAUGUAGUGUAGCGGUGAAAUGCAUAGAUAUUACAUAGAAUACCAAUUGCGAAGGCAGAUUACUAAUAAUAUACUGACACUGAUGGACGAAAGCGUGGGGAGCGAACAGGAUUAGAUACCCUGGUAGUCCACGCCGUAAACGAUGGUUACUAGCUGUUCGGACUUCGGUCUGAGUGGCUAAGCGAAAGUGAUAAGUAACCCACCUGGGGAGUACGUUCGCAAGAAUGAAAC
rnacentral:rRNA from 1 species